AUUCAUAUUCUCCUCGUUGUCGCGAAACAAAGCUUGGUGUGGCGGUGUAGUCAUUUAAUUGCGUGGGUGUCGGUAAUUACGCGUUGGUUCAUGAUCGUGAUACAAGUUGUUAAAAAAUUAAUUUUUAUGCAGUUGACUUGUCGAAUUUAGAUUUUUCCCCUCUAGCCAGUUAGAUGCUUAAUUGGAUUUGGAAUAUUCCACAUUGGCAGAGAGCCCGGACGAACCUGAGUUUUCAUCAUUAAACCGUUCACUUCGCCCGCACCGAAGCUACACAUAUAACACCCUUCACAAAGGAGCAGCUUCUUGACGAGAGGCGAUUUAGGGACUAGUUCGCGUAAAUACGGUAUACAGGCGGUCAGACGAACAUGGCUAAUGAGCUCAUCUUGUCACGCUCAAAAUUUAUUUAUAGCCUUUUUAGAAUCCCCGACUUUUCCUUCUGGGCGUUACAAACUUCGUGGUAUUCGUAUAUAUUGAUCUACCCAAGCUGAUAAUACCGUUUCCAUUUAUUCUAAACAGUGAUGCAAUAAACUUCUACUUAAGCACAAUAUACUACUACUUGUUAAAGACACUGUACCAAUAUGCUUAUAAGCUGUCAAAUUGUUGGUAAAUAAUUCUUAAUCAUACCUAUCUGUAGCUCAGCACGAAAUAUGUUUAACAAGAUUUUGAAGAUGCCUCAAGCAGUUCUGCACACACACUCUACUCUACACUAACAACAUCAUACAAUAAUAUCUAUGUAUAUACCUAUAUUAACUAUAAUAUUUAUACAUAUAGGGCCUGUAUGUAUGUAUAUACAAUAUAUGUAUCUCAAAAUUGUAAAUUUAUAAGUGCUUGUUUUACAGCUUGCUGGCUAUUAUUAUGCUAUUAAUUCUGAUAAUUUGUUGUUGUUGUUGGUAAAAGGAUUUGUUGAGCAUGAUUUUAAUUGAUUUCUUUACCAACGAAGCGUUGUUGCAUAGUUCAUGAAAAUUGGUUUUUUAAAUAAAUUU